rfam:Triticum urartu cultivar G1812 contig603221, whole genome shotgun sequence.
CAUAUGCUCCCUCCGUCCCAAAUUACUUGUCACAUAAAUGGAUAGAAAUGAAUAUAUGUAGAACUAAAAUACAUCUAGAUACAUUCAUUCUUGCGACAAGUAAUUCUGGAUGGAGAGAGUAUCUG